rnacentral:rRNA from 1 species
UACAAAGGUCUCAAGCGUUGUUCGGAUUCAUUGGGCGUAAAGGGUGCGUAGGUGGCGCGGUAAGUCGGGUGUGAAAUCUCGGGGCUUAACUCCGAAACUGCAUUCGAUACUGCCGUGCUUGAGGACUGGAGAGGAGACUGGAAUUUACGGUGUAGCGGUGAAAUGCGUAGAUAUCGUAAGGAAGACCAGUGGCGAAGGCGGGUCUCUGGACAGUUCCUGACGCUGAGGCACGAAGGUCAGGGGAGCAAACGGG